rnacentral:rRNA from 1 species
CUUGACAAACUUAUAAGAGGUCCAGCCUGCCCAGUGACUCUGUUCAACGGCCGCGGUAUCCUAACCGUGCGAAGGUAGCGUAAUCACUUGUUCUUUAAAUGAGGACUAGUAUGAAUGGCACCACGAAGGUUAUACUGUCUCCUUUUUCUAACCAGUGAAACUAAUCUUCCCGUGAAGAAACGGGAAUAAAAAUAUAAGACGAGAAGACCCUAUGGAGCUUUAAACAAAUAUACACCUGCCUCUUUACCAAAAAUUUCAGAAGACAAGUAAUUACUCGGGCAUUUUGAUAUAGCGUUUUAGGUUGGGGUGACCACGGAGCAAAAAACAACCUCCGCAGCGAACGGGAAUAUUCCCUUAACCAAGGGCCACAACCCCAAGUAUUGAUAAAUCAACACUAAUUGACCCAAUAAAUUUGACCAAUGAAC